CCUUUUUAUAUGUCUUCUUUCAAUAAAGAACCAAUUCUAACAGUUUGUUGUAAUAUUAGGAAUUUUGUAUGCAUAUUUUAAGAAUUAAAACAGGAUCACUCUAUGCAUAACGAUUUAAAAGUUCCAUAAGGAACUAAUUGUACCAAUUUAUUGUAGUAUUAGGGGUAUUUUUUUCAUGAUGUAAGAAUUAAAAAUUAUAUUACACUAUAGAUAUUGAUUUAAAAAAAAAAUAAAAAGUAAAACUUAAAGCUGAUAUGUUAUACACAAUUAUGUUAUAGGGUAUAUUGGUUGUCUCAGAUUAGGGUAUAUGUAUUCCUAUUGCAAUUUAUCCACUACGCUUUAAAGGUAUUGUCGACUUGAAUCACAUUAGUGAUUUAGUCUGAAGGUUCACAUCCAUAUUUCAUAAGUUUAUAUUUUUUAUGAUUCUGUAUGAAUUUUUUUGGUCCAAUUUAUUCAUUCUUUAAACUUUAAUUAUCUAAAGGUAGAGUUCACAUCUGAUUAUCAUACGAUUAUAGUUAUGUUUAUUUAUGUGAAUUGUUUUUUUCCUCCAAAGAUCAUUCUUUUUCCAUGCUUUUCUUACUUGAUGUUCAUGUAAUGAGGACAAAAAAAACUAGAAACUUAGAUUAUUAAGUUGUACUUAUUCCAUUAUCGUUUAUUGUUUGAAAUCAUAAGAAAACUGAAAUUCUUUCAAUGUAUUCCUUCUUUGGUCAUGGUUUUGAUUUAGAUGAUGAACCCUGUCACUAUUUAAGUGCUGAAGUGUGGUUAGAUUCUUCACAUUUGUCAUGAUAUUAAGUGCUGAAGUGCCACUAUUCAGAUGAUGUUCCAUGUCGCUUUUAUCCUGGUAUGAAGUAUCACUUAUUACAAAACUACAUUAGUUGGUGCUUCAUAUUGUUUGCAAACUUUUCGAAGGACAACUCAUUUGUUUUACGUGUUGUGUUUAAUUACAGUUUUUACUGCUGAUCCACUUAUUCAAAUCUCUUUAUUUACCAAACAUGAAUUUUAUGUCUUAUUAUAAUAUUAUUGGGAACAUAUAUUUGAUCACUGUAUACUCUUUUUACCAUUUCAUUGGAUCACAUAGGAACCUCAAAAUGUCAUUCAUUGAAAUAUCAGCGAUUCAACUACAUAAUAAUGCUAAACAUCUUCAAAUAAGAGUAAUAAGAAGAUGGAUAGCAUACAGGAAACCACAAGAGCUUUACAAAUCAAACAGCUGGUCUGUGCAAUGGAACGAGACUUAUAAGUUAUGUUAUGCCAUGACAAUUAACAAAAGUCAAGGCCAAUCUACAAACAAAAUAGGUGUUUAUCUUCCUCAACCCAUCUUCGGCCAUGGUUAGCUAUAUGUUGCCUUCUUUAGAGCCACCUCUCCAGAUGUCUUAAAAGUACUCAUCGUACCACAAGAAAAUGACCCUUCUAACAUAACAAAAGAUAUUGUUCUCUCGGACUUCCUAAAUCAAAUAUUCCAUAUACAGUGAUCUACAGGGAACUUCUAAUGAUAUUCAAGGAGAUAUUUGUGAUUAAACUACAAGAUACUUAGUGGCGAAGUUUGAGAUUUCCGACCGGGGUCGAAGACGUAUAUACAAAAGUUUUCUAUAAAACCGGGGGUUUCAAAAACGUAUAUACCCAAAAAUUUCUAUAUAAAAAGUACAUACUCUGCACUACUGAGGGAAAAGUUCGGGGGGUCGGCCGCCCCCUCCCGCCCCCCACAAAGCUACGCGCUUGAAGAUACUCCAACUAAGGGUUACAAGGAGAUGGAUGUUAUGCUAUCUUUUAGUAGAUAAUCAAUCAUAUCAUACUCCAGCAAUAACUAAACACCAUCAAGCACUUGAUAAUUCUCAUUUGAUGCAAUAAUAUUGCUAUGCUAUUAAACGUUAGUUAUGCUACACUUCAACACCAUAUUGGCCCCUUACCGAAAUUUCAACUUUGUACAACAAUUGUCAGUAUAUU